AGAAGGAAGGCUGCCUUGCUGGAGCUGUGUGGUCUUCCCCAAGUGAGAGUCGCAGGCAAUAGAACUACUUUGCUUUUGGAGGAAAAGGAGGAAUUCAUUUUCAGCAGACACAAGAAAAGCAGUUUUUUUUUCAGCACUUGUGCUGGUAAUACACAUGAAGUUCCCAUCAGCAUUCCACCAGCUGUGAAAGUGUUUGAGCACACGGGAUAUCCCUUCCAGAGAAGCGAAAAAUAACGGAGGUUGAGGAGAUCCGAAAUGUGCACUCGGUACAAACCUGUAGGAAACUAUGUCUACAUUUUCUAAAAUAUGAAUCUAUGGGACUUGAACAUGCUACUGCUUAACUGUUGUGGGAUAUUUCACUUCUCUUGAAUGAGGAACUCACUCAGAGACUAACACAAAGGAAGUAAUUUCUUACCUGGUCAUUAUUUAGUCUAC
rnacentral:sRNA from 1 species